UGGGGAAUCUUGCACAAUGGGCGAAAGCCUGAUGCAGCAAUGCCGCGUGAGUGAUGAAGGCCUUCGGGUUGUAAAUCUCUGUCGGCUGGGAAAAACGUCUUUUCAUUUAAUAGAUGAAGAGAGUGAUGGUACCAGCAAAGGAAGAGGCGGCUAACUCUGUGCCAGCAGCCGCGGUAAUACAGAGGCCUCGAGCGUUGUUCGGAAUUACUGGGCGUAAAGGGAAUGUAGGUGGUGACAUAAGUCAGAUGUGAAAGCCCUGGGCUUAACCCGGGAAGUGCAUUUGAUACUGCGUUGCUGGAGUGCGAGAGAGGAAAGCGGAAUUCCCAGUGUAGGAGUGAAAUCCGUAGAUAUUGGGAGGAAUACCGAUGGCGAAGGCAGCUUUCUGGCUCGUAACUGACACUGAGAUUCGAAAGCGUGGGUAGCAAACAG
rnacentral:rRNA from 1 species